rnacentral:piRNA from 1 species
AGCGGUCGCCAGCGCCAGCUUUAGCCUGUGG